UUAUUUAAUGGCCGCGGUAUAUUGACCGUGCAAAGGUAGCAUAAUCAUUAGUUUAUUAAUUGUGGACUUGUAUGAAUGGUUGGACGAAAUAUUAUCUGUCUCAUUUUUAUUUUUAUAAUUUAAAUUUUAAGUUAGAAUGCUUAAAUUUUUUUAUUGGACGAGAAGACCCUAUAGAUCUUAAAUAUAUUUAUUUAUAAAUUUAUUUUGUUUAUUAUGUUAUUUAUAUUUUUUAUUUUUUUGUUGGGGUGACAAAAGGAUUUUAAAUUAACUCCUUUUAUUUUCAUACAUUUAUUUAUGAAUAUUUGACCUUUUAUUAUUGUUAUAAGAACUAGAUACCUUAGGGAUAACAGCGUAAUUCUUUCUGAGAGUUCUUAUCGACGAAUGAGAUUGCGACCUCGAUGUUGGAUUAAGAUUAUAACCAGGGGUAGAUUUUUGGUUGUUAGGUCUGUUCGACCUUUAAAUUCUUACAUGAUCUGAGUUCAAACCGGAGA
rnacentral:rRNA from 1 species